AAACCAACAGGGAUUGCCCUAGUAACGGCGAGUGAAGCGGCAACAGCUCAAAUUUGAAAUCUGGCCUAGGCCCGAGUUGUAAUUUGCAGAGGAUGCUUCUGGCGCGGUGCCUUCCGAGUUCCCUGGAACGGGACGCCACAGAGGGUGAGAGCCCCGUAUGGUCGGACACCAAGCCUGUGUGAAGCUCCUUCGACGAGUCGAGUAGUUUGGGAAUGCUGCUCUAAAUGGGAGGUAAAUCUCUUCUAAAGCUAAAUACCGGCCAGAGACCGAUAGCGCACAAGUAGAGUGAUCGAAAGAUGAAAAGCACCUUGAAAAGGGGGUUAAAUAGUACGUGAAAUUGUUGAAAGGGAAGCACUUAUGACCAGACUUGGGCCGGGCGGCUCAUCAGGGGUUCUCCCCUGUGCACUCCGCCCGGCACAGGCCAGCAUCGGUUCUCGUGGGGGGAUAAGACCGACAGGAACGUAGCACCCUCCGGGGUGUGUUAUAGCCUGGCGGACGAUACCCCCGUGGGGACCGAGGUCCGCGCUCCGCAAGGAUGCUGGCGUAAUGGUCAUCAGUGAC
rnacentral:rRNA from 1 species